UACGUAGGGACCAAGCGUUGUUCGGAUUUACUGGGCGUAAAGGGCGCGUAGGCGGCAAUUCAAGUCAUCUGUGAAAUCUCCGGGCUUAACCCGGAACGGUCAGAUGAUACUGCUUUGCUAGAGUGCGGAAGGGGCAAUCGGAAUUCUCGGUGUAGCGGUGAAAUGCGUAGAUAUCGAGAGGAACACCUGCGGCGAAGGCGGGUUGCUGGGCUGACACUGACGCUGAUGCGCGAAAGCCAGGGGAGCGAACGGG
rnacentral:rRNA from 1 species